rnacentral:lncRNA from 1 species
UCAGCUCCUGCAAAUAAGAGACUAGCUCUUGCAGCUCAAUUUGUAAAAAGGUUAACUGCUCGAAUGGCUUCUGGUUUGACUGAAAUCAAGAGAGAUAUUUUUCACCUCUGAUUUGACUGAAAUCAAGAGAGAUAUUUUUCACCAGGGAGGUGUGGCUUCUGCUGGUUCAUCGUGUGGCAGUUCCUUCAGGAUGGAUAAUAUUCGAGGCGAUGAGAACUGUACAUUCUUUUAGAUCAUGGUAUAGAAGAAAACAAGGAUUCGAGUC